GAUGAACGCUGGCGGCAGGCUUAACACAUGCAAGUCGAACGCCCUCUUCGGAGGGAGUGGCAGACGGGUGCGUAACGCGUGGGAAUUUACCCAAUGGUACGGAACAACUCCGGGAAACUGGAGCUAAUACCGUAUAAGCCCUUCGGGGGAAAGAUUUAUCGCCAUUGGAAAAGCCCGCGUUGGAUUAGCUUGUUGGUGGGGUAACGGCCUACCAAGGCGACGAUCCAUAGCUGGUCUGAGAGGAUGAUCAGCCACACUGGGACUGAGACACGGCCCAGACUCCUACGGGAGGCAGCAGUGGGGAAUAUUGGACAAUGGGCGAAAGCCUGAUCCAGCCAUGCCGCGUGAGUGAAGAAGGCCUUAGGGUUGUAAAGCUCUUUCGGCGGGGAAGAUAAUGACGGUACCCGCAGAAGAAGCCCCGGCUAACUCCGUG
rnacentral:rRNA from 1 species